rnacentral:rRNA from 1 species
UAAGGAAUAUUGGUCAAUGGACGCAAGUCUGAACCAGCCAUGCCGCGUGAAGGAUGAAGGUCCUCUGGAUUGUAAACUUCUUUUAUCUGGGACGAAAACGGGAUUUUUAUCUCAAUUGACGGUACCAGAGGAAUAAGCACCGGCUAACUCCGUGCCAGCAGCCGCGGUAAUACGGAGGGUGCGAGCGUUAUCCGGAUUUACUGGGUUUAAGGGUGCGUAGGUGGGCUUAUAAGUCAGUGGUGAAAUCUCCGAGCUUAACUUGGAAACUGCCGUUGAUACUAUAGGUCUUGAAUUAGCUGGAGGUUAGCGGAAUAUGUCAUGUAGCGGUGAAAUGCUUAGAUAUGACAUAGAACACCAAUAGCGAAGGCAGCUUACUACAUAUAAAUUGACGCUGAGGCACGAAAGCGUGGGGAUCAAACA